CUGGUCCCUGGUGCUCCAGUGUGGUUUCAGAUGUCCUCAGUUGGUUGGGAGCCUGGGCCCUAAAACCCAGUGAACUUGCUUUGGGCCAUGGCGAGGCUAUUUUACUUGGCUAUCGUUUAUAACUUUGUUUCUGCAGGCAGUGUAGACGGCAACAAAGGGCCGGUCUGGUGGGGCUCAGCUCCCAGCUUUGCGGCCUGUGUAACCUUGGGCAAGCCCGUCUCCCACCCUGAGCCUCAGUGUCUCCCCCCAUAAACUGGAGUUAAAAGCAGAAGUCACCCCAGAGUCAUUGCAGGGGUGAACUGAGCCAUAUGAAGUGCUUAGCACACCCGCUGGGAGCGCCAAGGCUGCGUGCUGCUUUCAGGUGGCGUUGGCUCGUGGGCACAGGAACCUUCUCCUGGGGUGGUUUGUAGGGACUCGGGUGUGUCCUCCGUCUCAAGGGACAUUCUUCGUGCACACCGUCCUCCUGCCGUGUGAGGAGGGGACUCACUUCGCCUGACUUCCUGCAGUGCCCUGUCUCCGUAUGCUUGCAUCUGAGCAUUUUGUAAGCUGAUCCCACCAUUUCCCUGGC